UAGCGCGGUGGUCCCACCUGACCCCAUGCCGAACUCAGAAGUGAAACGCCGUAGUGCCGAUGGUAGUGUGGGGUCUCCCCAUGCGAGAGUAGGGAACUGCCAGGC
rnacentral:rRNA from 1 species